CAAACAGGCUGAGGAGUGGAAGUGAAAGUAAAAUUUAUACGUUAGGUCUGUACAAGGUACAAAGUACAAGGCAGCUUUCCUGUUUUGUCAGUUACAAAUUUAACAUAAAGGUCCGUGCAAACGCUUUGGGAUUUAUGAAACAGCGCAUUUGGAAUUAUAUAGGUGUGCAUCUUGAUGUGGAUAAAGGGACACUUUGCUUUGUGGGGUUCACAAGUUUACUACACUGAUGCCAACAGACAGAACAACCUCAGUCUCAGACCACUGUCAAUACAACUCCCAUGUUCUGUCAACACAUAAACCACCUUGGUUGAGAACUACAAACCCUAUCAGAUUUUCAUCCAUCCUAAGAUGAACCGUUCCACCGUCGUAAAGUGCUUCAUGCAGCAGUCAGGCUAAAAAUUGGUCAAAAACCACCUUGACUGGCAAGACUGAAAUACAGCCAAGUAUUAGAACUCAGAACCUCAGUCUCCCUUUGGAAGUCCAGUGCUGUACUGCUGGGAGUAACUGGAUCUUUGAAGCAAGUUGGCCACUCAAGUGGAAAUUGAAACAACAAUGAAAAACUGCAGCAAGUUGUUUGGUGAUUGCUAAAGGAAAUACUGAUGAUUCAUCCUUAGAUCCACUGUCUCUAUGUCAAGAGAAGGAAAAUAGUUUGAAUGUGCUGCGUGUCUCCAUCUCUCGCUCUCCGUGCCCGGUGGCUAUCAGUGAUAAAAAAGUUUACACCAUCAGACUGCAAAACAAAAGCUGCUGCCACCUGUGGAACUAUACCAGUGUAUGACUCACUGUACUCAAAGAAAAACAUGAUGGGAGUUAGAAAUCAGCGAAAGAUAAACAGAAAAUCAUCGACAAACAAUGAACUUACAGUAAUAUCAAGCGUUCUAAGAGUGGCGUAAUCUACUCUCAGGGCGGAAAACAAGAUUGAAUGAAUAUCAUCCGUACACCAACAUUGGCCAUCUUCUAUUUUGGAGCAACUGCAGAUUGCACCAUCCUCCAGAGACACCUGGGACCCCCAGGACCCUGAAUUGACACCGGAGGAAGGGCCACACACAGAUCCACCCGCGUCACACUCUCUCUUGCUACCAGGCACCAGUAGAGAUGCAAGCACAUC